UUAAUUAAAGCCAAAAAGAGGCAUAUUAUUGUUAAUAAUAAAAUUGAAUUGUUAAAAAUUCUAAUUAAA
rnacentral:tRNA from 1 species